UAACUCUUGUUUUUCUUCAUAUCGAGUAAAUCUUUCGCCUUUUACUAAAGAUUUCCGUGGAGAGAAAUAUUAUGAGUAUAAACCAAUUUUUUUAAAGCUUCACUUGGUAGUGAAGUU